rnacentral:rRNA from 1 species
AAACCAACAGGGAUUACCUCAGUAACGGCGAGUGAAGCGGUAACAGCUCAAAUUUGAAAUCUGGCUCUUUUAGGGUCCGAGUUGUAAUUUGUAGAAGAUGCUUUGGGUGUGGCCUUGGUCUAAGUUCCUUGGAACAGGACGUCAUAGAGGGUGAGAAUCCCGUAUGUGACUAGGUGCUUUCGCCCGUGUAAAGCUCUUUCGACGAGUCGAGUUGUUUGGGAAUGCAGCUCAAAAUGGGUGGUAAAUUUCAUCUAAAGCUAAAUAUUGGCCAGAGACCGAUAGCGCACAAGUAGAGUGAUCGAAAGAUGAAAAGCACUUUGGAAAGAGAGUUAAACAGUACGUGAAAUUGUUGAAAGGGAAGCGCUUGCAACCAGACUUAGGCGCGGCCGAUCAUCUAGGGUUCUCCCUGGUGCACUCGGUCGUCUCUAGGCCAGCAUCGGUUUGGGUGGUGGGAUAAAGGCCGUGGGAAUGUAGCUUCUUUCGGGGAGUGUUAUAGCCCUCGGUGCAAUGCCGCCUACCUGGACCGAGGACCGCGCUUCGGCUAGGAUGCUGGCGUAAUGGUUGUAAGCGAC